rnacentral:rRNA from 1 species
AUACGAGGGGUGCAAGCGUUAAUGGGAAUUACUGGGCGUAAAGCGUUCGUAGGCGGUUUGUUAAGCAAGAUGUGAAAGCCCUGGGCUCAACCUGGGAACUGCAUUUUGAACUGGCAAGCUAGAAUACUGUAGAGGGUGGUGGAAUUUCCAGUGUAGCGGUGAAAUGCGUAGAGAUUGGAAGGAACAUCAGUGGCGAAGGCGGCCACCUGGACAGAUAUUGACGCUGAGGAACGAAAGCGUGGGGAGCGAACAGGAUUAGAAACCCGUGUAGUCC